AUCUUUACCGUCACGCCACGCCCGGUCUUGAAUCCCGCCUCUGCCAGCCAGUCGCCCUAAGCUACAGAUCGGGACUGCGCGAGUAUCCAGUAGGGAAUUUGGUUUUACGAUUGGUGCGGGAAAUACCG
rnacentral:sRNA from 1 species